UACGGAGGAUCCAAGCGUUAUCCGGAAUCAUUGGGUUUAAAGGGUCCGUAGGCGGUUUGGUAAGUCAGUGGUGAAAGCCCAUCGCUCAACGAUGGAACGGCCAUUGAUACUGCCAGACUUGAAUUACUGGGAAGUAACUAGAAUAUGUAGUGUAGCGGUGAAAUGCUUAGAUAUUACAUGGAAUACCAAUUGCGAAGGCAGGUUACUACCAGUGGAUUGACGCUGAUGGACGAAAGCGUGGGGAGCGAACAGG
rnacentral:rRNA from 1 species